CAGGCUUAACACAUGCAAGUCGAGGGGCAGCAUGGUCUUAGCUUGCUAAGGCCGAUGGCGACCGGCGCACGGGUGAGUAACACGUAUCCAACCUGCCGUCUACUCUUGGACAGCCUUCUGAAAGGAAGAUUAAUACAAGAUGGCAUCAUGAGUCCGCAUGUUCACAUGAUUAAAGGUAUUCCGGUAGACGAUGGGGAUGCGUUCCAUUAGAUAGUAGGCGGGGUAACGGCCCACCUAGUCUUCGAUGGAUAGGGGUUCUGAGAGGAAGGUCCCCCACAUUGGAACUGAGACACGGUCCAAACUCCUACGGGAGGCAGCAGUGAGGAAUAUUGGUCAAUGGGCGAGAGCCUGAACCAGCCAAGUAGCGUGAAGGAUGACUGCCCUAUGGGUUGUAAACUUCUUUUAUAAAGGAAUAAAGUCGGGUAUGCAUACCCGUUUGCAUGUACUUUAUGAAUAAGGAUCGGCUAACUCCGUGCCAGCAGCCGCGGUAAUACGGAGGAUCCGAGCGUUAUCCGGAUUUAUUGGGUUUAAAGGGAGCGUAGAUGGAUGUUUAAGUCAGUUGUGAAAGUUUGCGGCUCAACCGUAAAAUUGCAGUUGAUACUGGAUAUCUUGAGUGCAGUUGAGGCAGGCGGAAUUCGUGGUGUAGCGGUGAAAUGCUUAGAUAUCACGAAGAACUCCGAUUGCGAAGGCAGCCUGCUAAGCUGCAACUGACAUUGAGGCUCGAAAGUGUGGGUAUCAAACAGGAUUAGAUACCCUGGUAGUCCACACGGUAAACGAUGAAUACUCGCUGUUUGCGAUAUACAGCAAGCGGCCAAGCGAAAGCGUUAAGUAUUCCACCUGGGGAGUACGCCGGCAACGGUGAAACUCAAAGGAAUUGACGGGGGCCCGCACAAGCGGAGGAACAUGUGGUUUAAUUCGAUGAUACGCGAGGAACCUUACCCGGGCUUAAAUUGCAGAUGAAUUACGGUGAAAGCCGUAAGCCGCAAGGCAUCUGUGAAGGUGCUGCAUGGUUGUCGUCAGCUCGUGCCGUGAGGUGUCGGCUUAAGUGCCAUAACGAGCGCAACCCUUGUUGUCAGUUACUAACAGGUUCCGCUGAGGACUCUGACAAGACUGCCAUCGUAAGAUGUGAGGAAGGUGGGGAUGACGUCAAAUCAGCACGGCCCUUACGUCCGGGGCUACACACGUGUUACAAUGGGGGGUACAGAGGGCCGCUACCACGCGAGUGGAUGCCAAUCCCAAAAACCUCUCUCAGUUCGGACUGGAGUCUGCAACCCGACUCCACGAAGCUGGAUUCGCUAGUAAUCGCGCAUCAGCCACGGCGCGGUGAAUACGUUCCCGGGCCUUGUACACACCGCCCGUCAAGCCAUGGGAGCCGGGGGUACCUGAAGUGCGUAACCGCGAGGAGCGCCCUAGGGUAAAACUGGUGACUGGGGCUA
rnacentral:rRNA from 1 species